rnacentral:rRNA from 2 species
GACGAGCCACACAAACGUUAUUCGGAAUCACUGGGCUUAAAGGGUGCGUAGGCUGCGCAGCAAGUUGGAUGUGAAAUCCUACAGCUUAACUGUAGAAGUGCAUUCAAAACUGCUGUGCUCGAGGGAGACAGAGGUGAGCGGAACUGAGGGUGGAGCGGUGAAAUGCGUUGAUAUCCUCAGGAACACCGGUGGCGAAAGCGGCUCACUGGGUCUCUUCUGACGCUGAGGCACGAAAGCUAGGGUAGCGAACGGG